rnacentral:rRNA from 1 species
ACGGGUGGUAAUGCCGGAUGCUCCGACUCCUCGCAUGGGGUGUCGGGAAAGAUUUCAUCGGUAUGGGAUGGGGUCGCGUCCUAUCAGGUAGUCGGCGGGGUAACGGCCCACCGAGCCUACGACGGGUAGCCGGCCUGAGAGGGCGACCGGCCACAUUGGGACUGAGAUACGGCCCAGACUCCUACGGGAGGCAGCAGUGGGGAAUAUUGCACAAUGGGCGCAAGCCUGAUGCAGCGACGCCGCGUGCGGGAUGACGGCCUUCGGGUUGUAAACCGCUUUUGAUCGGGAGCAAGCCUUCGGGUGAGUGUACCUUUCGAAUAAGCACCGGCUAACUACGUGCCAGCAGCCGCGGUAAUACGUAGGGUGCAAGCGUUAUCCGGAAUUAUUGGGCGUAAAGGGCUCGUAGGCGGUUCGUCGCGUCCGGUGUGAAAGUCCAUCGCUUAACGGUGGAUCUGCGCCGGGUACGGGCGGGCUGGAGUGCGGUAGGGGAGACUGGAAUUCCCGGUGUAACGGUGGAAUGUGUAGAUAUCGAA